GAUGAACGCUGGCGGCGUGCCUAAUACAUGCAAGUCGAGCGAACGGACGAGAAGCUUGCUUCUCUGAUGUUAGCGGCGGACGGGUGAGUAACACGUGGAUAACCUACCUAUAAGACUGGGAUAACUUCGGGAAACCGGAGCUAAUACCGGAUAAUAUUUUGAACCGCAUGGUUCAAAAGUGAAAGACGGUCUUGCUGUCACUUAUAGAUGGAUCCGCGCUGCAUUAGCUAGUUGGUAAGGUAACGGCUUACCAAGGCAACGAUGCAUAGCCGACCUGAGAGGGUGAUCGGCCACACGGGAACUGAGACACGGUCCAGACUCCUAAGGGAGGCAGCAGUAGGGAAUCGUCCGCAAUGGGCGAAAGCCUGACGGAGCGACGCCGCGUGAGUGAUGAAGGUCUUCGGAUCGUAAAACUCUGUUAUUAGGGAAGAACAUAUGUGUAAGUAACUGUGCACAUCUUGACGGUACCUAAUCAGAAAGCAACGGCUAACUACGUG
rnacentral:rRNA from 1 species